CCCCUCUCAGGGUCACACCUGGAGAGUGUCCAGUACUCUACCAGUCUUGACUAUGGGAGGGACAGUCAAGCAGAGGCAUAUCCAUUCAAUUCCUAGCUUAGGCAGUGGCUAGCGAGUGGAAGGCAAUUGCUGUUACAAGU
rnacentral:snoRNA from 1 species